AGUGAACGCUGGCGGUAGGCCUAACACAUGCAAGUCGAACGGCAGCACAGUAAGAGCUUGCUCUUACGGGUGGCGAGUGGCGGACGGGUGAGGAAUACAUCGGAAUCUACUUUUUCGUGGGGGAUAACGUAGGGAAACUUACGCUAAUACCGCAUACGACCUACGGGUGAAAGCAGGGGAUGUUCGGACCUUGCGCGAUUGAAUGAGCCGAUGUCGGAUUAGCUAGUUGGCGGGGUAAAGGCCCACCAAGGCGACGAUCCGUAGCUGGUCUGAGAGGAUGAUCAGCCACACUGGAACUGAGACACGGUCCAGACUCCUACGGGAGGCAGCAGUGGGGAAUAUUGGGCAAUGGGCGCAAGCCUGAUCCAGCCAUACCGCGUGGGUGAAGAAGGCCUUCGGGUUGUAAAGCCCUUUUGUUGGGAAAGAAAAGCAGCAGGUUAAUACCCCGCUGUUCUGACGGUACCCAAAGAAUAAGCACCGGCUAACUUCGUG
rnacentral:rRNA from 1 species